rnacentral:rRNA from 1 species
UACGUAGGGUGCAAGCGUUAUUCGGAAUUACUGGGCGUAAAGCGUGCGCAGGCGGUGAUGUAAGUCAGGUGUGAAAUCCCCGGGCUUAACCUGGGAAUGGCAUUUGGGACUGCAAGGCUGGAGUGCGGCAGAGGAGACUGGAAUUCCUGGUGUAGCAGUGAAAUGCGUAGAUAUCAGGAGGAACACCGAUGGCGAAGGCAGCUCUCUGGGACGGUACUGACGCUGAGACGCGAAAGCGUGGGGAGCGAACAGG